rnacentral:rRNA from 1 species
UACGUAGGGGGCUAGCGUUGUCCGGAUUUAUUGGGCGUAAAGAGCGUGUAGGCGGCCAGGUAGGUCUGCUGUGAAAACUCGAGGCUCAACCUCGAGACGUCGGCGGAAACCAUCGUGGCUAGAGUCCGGAAGAGGAGAGUGGAAUUCCUGGUGUAGCGGUGAAAUGCGCAGAUAUCAGGAAGAACACCCGUGGCGAAGGCGGCUCUCUGGGACGGUACUGACGCUGAGACGCGAAAGCGUGGGGAGCGAACAGGAUUAGAUACCCCGA